GAUACGGUCAGUCUUGAGUACAGUAGAGGUNNGCGGAAUUCGUGGUGUAGCGGUGAAAUGCUUAGAUAUCACGAAGAACUCCGAUUGCGAAGGCAGCUCACUGGACUGCAACUGACACUGAUGCUCGAAAGUGUGGGUAUCAAACAGGAUUAGAUACCCUGGUAGUCCACACAGUAAACGAUGAAUACUCGCUGUUUGCGAUAUACAGUAAGCGGCCAAGCGAAAGCAUUAAGUAUUCCACCUGGGGAGUACGCCGGCAACGGUGAAACUCAAAGGAAUUGACGGGGGCCCGCACAAGCGGAGGAACAUGUGGUUUAAUUCGAUGAUACGCGAGGAACCUUACCCGGGCUUAAAUUGCAGUGGAAUGAUGUGGAAACAUGUCAGUGAGCAAUCACCGCUGUGAAGGUGCUGCAUGGUUGUCGUCAGCUCGUGCCGUGAGGUGUCGGCUUAAGUGCCAUAACGAGCGCAACCCUUAUCUUCAGUUACUAACAGGUCAUGCUGAGGACUCUGGAGAGACUGCCGUCGUAAGAUGUGAGGAAGGUGGGGAUGACGUCAAAUCAGCACGGCCCUUACGUCCGGGGCUACACACGUGUUACAAUGGGGGGUACAGAAGGCAGCUAGCGGGUGACCGUAUGCUAAUCCCAAAAUCCUCUCUCAGUUCGGAUCGAAGUCUGCAACCCGACUUCGUGAAGCUGGAUUCGCUAGUAAUCGCGCAUCAGCCACGGCGCGGUGAAUACGUUCCCGGGCCUUGUACACACCGCCCGUCAAGCCAUGGGAGCCGNNNNUNNNNGAAGUACGUAACCGCAAGGAUCGUCCUAGGGUAAAACUGGUGACUGGGGCAAAGUGGUAACAAGGUAACCA
rnacentral:rRNA from 1 species